rnacentral:lncRNA from 10 species
CAACUAUAAUUUAUGUCUGUUUACUCUUGGAGAUACAUUUUCAGUUGGUGGGGUCAGAAGUGAGGAGACAUUAUCUCUCAGGACCCACGGGUCAAAUAGCAAACUCAACCAACCAAGAUAUGAAAAUGACUCAAUAAAGAGAAGAAAAAGUUAAAGUACUUGACAAAAUGAGAUAUGCUGCCACAAUUUUGAACUUUACUUCUUAUGAGAAGGCCCAGGGGAGAUUUAAACACAGACGUGUGCACAGUGGAAAGAUCUGUGACAACA